rnacentral:tRNA from 24 species
GCGGAGGUGGCGGAAUUGGUAGACGCGCUAGCUUCAGGUGCUAGUGUCCGAAAGGACGUGAGGGUUCAAGUCCCUCUCUCCGCACCA